rnacentral:rRNA from 1 species
UACGAAGGGGGCUAGCGUUGCUCGGAAUUACUGGGCGUAAAGGGCGCGUAGGUGGCGAGAUAAGCGUGUGGUGAAAGCCCGGGGCUCAACCCCGUGUCUGCCAUGCGGACUGUCUUGCUCGAGCGUAGUAGAGGCAGGUGGAAUUCCGGGUGUAGCGGUGGAAUGCGUAGAUAUCAGGAGGAACACCUGUGGCGAAAGCGGCUCACUGGACCACAACUGACGCUGAGGCGCGAAAGCUAGGGGAGCAAACAGG